rnacentral:rRNA from 1 species
GAUGAACGCUGGCGGCAUGCCUAACACAUGCAAGUCGAUCGGUAAGGCUCUUCGGAGUACACGAGAGGCGGACGGCUGAGUAACGCGUAGGAACACACCCUGCAGUGAGGGAUAAGACACUGAAAGGAGUUCUAAUACCGCAUACGGUCUUCGGAUUAAAGCAGUUUUGCGCUUAAGGGGUGACCUGGGUCAUAUUAGAAAGUUGGUGAGGUAAUGGUUCACCAAGUGGAUGAUGUGUAGCUGAUCUGAGAGGAUGAUCAGCCAGACUGGAAAUGCGACACGGUCCAGACUCGUACGGGAGGCAGCAGUGAGGAAUAUUUCACAAGGAGCCAAAGCUUGAUGGAGCAAUGCAGCAGGCAGGGUGAAGGACCUCGGGUUGUAAACUGCUUUGAUAAGAGAAGAUUAUGACGAUAACUUAUGAAUAAGGGACGGCUAACUACGUG